rnacentral:lncRNA from 10 species
ACAGAAGAAAGCAGAAUGUGAAGGUCAAUUGAACCACGUGAUGAAUUGGUUAAUUAUUACACAUUUCUGGAUCUAGAGUGAACCAAGGUAUAACCCCAUUCACAUGGCAAAUGCAAACAACACCUAUUAUACAUUUAACCAAGUUUUCUUGUUGACCGUUUCACUUACCUCUCUUAACAACACCUGGGAGAUAUCAGGGUCAUUACCUCCAUUUUGCAGAUGAAAAGCCUGGACCCAAAGAGUUUAAGACUCUUGUUCAAAAUCACAUUUGGUCCCUGGUGGUUUGGUGGCUAGGGGAAAAAAAAAGCAAAAUUACAUUUUGGUCUGAUGCAUUUUGCCAGUGCCUGUUCUAGACAGCAGCCUGUCUUAUUAAGUAGUGAGCCUGUAAAUUUGAUCUGAUCAUGAGAAGAGAGAGGAAAUCUCUGGCUGAGGAGGUCCAAGUAGAAGAGUCAUUUCUAAAAGGAAUUUAGAAUAUUCCAGCAGCCAGGAGUAAAAGGCACGCCUUAGUCAGAUGGUAAAAUAGUAUUAAACUGUGGAAUAGAAGAUCUAGGCCAUUAGAGAAGGUUUCCAUAAUUUGAUGCUAGUUAUAUUAUGAAAUAUAGCUCAAAUAAAUUCAAUCUUAUGGCUUUAUAAUCACUCAGGAAAAUCAUUGCAGAAAGAGGAUAGUAAGGGAAUUAAAAUGUUUUCUGCUUUGAAGAUUGUUUUGUAUUUUCUUAGGCAGAAAAGGGUUUUCAACAAUUUUAAGGGUGUUAAUGAGCAUAAAUCAUGUAUGUUUUAGCAAUUCAGAAAGGCUAGUAUGUAUAAAUUAUUUUUUGUAUUAACAAGAGUUUAAUCUUUGUGAUGUAACACAAUUGAGUCAGAUUCUCCCUUGCAGACUAGUGCAGUGGAAGGAGAACUUUGGAUUUAGAGAUAUCAGGAUUUUUAUUCUGGUUCCACCACAUACUAGUUUGGUAACUGC